rnacentral:rRNA from 1 species
AUGAUUGUAGCUAACAACAUGAUUGUAGCUAACACCCUCUUUAGAAAGAGAGAAUCACAUCUGGUGACUUUUAGUAGUGGCCAACAUUCUAGCCAUAUUGAUUUCAUCCUCUCAAGAAGAGAAGAUAGGCGUGCGUGCCUAGACUGUAAGGUGAUACCUGGAGAGAGUAUUGUACCCCAGCAUAAGCUGGUGGUUGCUGACUUCCGCUUUCGGAUUCGUGUCAAGCGGGAUAAGCAUGCCAAAGUCGCUAGAACGAAGUGGUGGAAGCUCAAGGGGGAGGUAGCUCUAGCAUUCAAGGAGAGGGUCAUUAAGGAGGGCCCUUGGGAGGAAGGAGGAGAUGCGAACAAUGUGUGGACGAAGAUGGCGACUUGCAUUCGUAAGGUGGCCUCGGAGGAGCUUGGAGUGUCCAGGGGAAGGAGAAGCAAAGAUAAGGAUACCUGGUGGUGGAAUGAUGAUGUCCAGAAGGAUUAA